rnacentral:rRNA from 1 species
GGAAUAUUGGACAAUGGGCGAAAGCCUGAUCCAGCAAUGCCGCGUGAGUGAUGAAGGCCUUAGGGUUGUAAAGCUCUUUUACCCGGGAUGAUAAUGACAGUACCGGGAGAAUAAGCCCCGGCUAACUUCGUGCCAGCAGCCGCGGUAAUACGAAGGGGGCUAGCGUUGUUCGGAAUUACUGGGCGUAAAGGGCGCGUAGGCGGCCUUGUUAGUCGAGUGUGAAAGCCCUGGGCUUAACCCGGGAAGCGCGCUUGAUACUGCGAGGCUUGAGUGUGGGAGAGGAUGAUGGAAUUCCCAGUGUAGAGGUGAAAUUCGUAGAUAUUGGGAAGAACACCGGUGGCGAAGGCGAUCAUCUGGACCACAACUGACGCUGAGGCGCGAAAGCGUGGGGAGCAAAC